UGAGUACGAGACGCUAAGGCGUUGAAGCAGUGUAUGUCAGACUUCCAAGAAAAGCUCGCAAUGUCAUAAACAAGAAAUGCCUGUACCAUAACCGACACAGGUGGGUAGGUAGAGUAUACUAAGGGGCGCGAGAUAACUCUCUCUAAGGAACUCGGCAAAAUGACUCCGUAACUUCGGGAGAAGGAGUGCCUUAUUUUUAUAAGGUUGCAAUAACAAGAUCCAAGCAACUGUUUACCAAAAACACAGGUCUCCGCUAAGUCGUAAGACGAUGUAUGGGGGCUGACGCCUGCCCAGUGCCAGAAGGUUAAAGAAGUUGGUUAGUUUCGGCGAAGCUGAUGACUGAAGCCCUGGUGAACGGCGGCCGUAACGAUAACGGUCCUAAGGUAGCGAAAUUCCUUGUCGGGUAAGUUCCGACCCGCACGAAAGGCGUAAUGAUUUGGAUACUGUCUCGGAGGGGGGCUCGGUGAAAUAGACUUGUCUGUGAAGAUGCGGACUACCUGCACCUGGACAGAAAGACCCUAUGAAGCUUUACUGUAACUUGAGAUUGAAAUUGGACUUUAUUUGCGCAGUAUAGGUGGGAGACGUUGAGAAUAUUCUUGCGGGAAUAUUGGAGUCAUCAGUGAGAUACCACUCUUGUAAUGUUAGAUUUCUAACUUUGUAUCAUUAUCUGGUCAAAGGACAGUUUCAGGCGGGCAGUUUGACUGGGGCGGUCGCCUCCCAAACGGUAACGGAGGCGCACAAAGGUUUCCUCUGAACGUGUAGAAAUCGUAUCUAGAGUGUAAAGGCAUAAGGAAGCUUGACUGUGAGACCUACAAGUCGAGCAGGGACGAAAGACGGUCUUAGUGAUCUGACGGUGCUGAGUGGAAAGGCCGUCACUCAACGGAUAAAAGUUACUCUAGGAUAACAGGCUGAUCUCCCCCAAGAGUUCACAUCGACGGGGAGGUUUGGCACCUCGAUGUCGGCUCAUCGCAUCCUGGGGCGGUAGUACGUCCCAAGGGUUGGGCUGUUCGCCCAUGAAAGCGGUACGCGAGCUGGGUUCAGAACGUCGUGAGACAGUUCGGUCCAUAUCCGGUGUAGGCGUUAGAAUAUUGAGAGGAGCCUUCUUUAGUACGAGAGGACCGAGAAGGACAUACCUCUGGUGUACCAGUUAUCGUGCCAACGGUAAACGCUGGGUAGCUAUGUAUGGAGUGGAUAACCGCUGAAAGCAUCUAAGUGGGAAGCCCACCUCAAGAUAAG
rnacentral:rRNA from 1 species